rnacentral:rRNA from 1 species
GAUGAACGCUAGCUACAGGCUUAACACAUGCAAGUCGAGGGGUAACGAGAGGAAAGCUUGCUUUCCUUGCCGACGACCGGCGCACGGGUGAGUAACGCGUAUCCAACCUGCCCCCAACUAAGGAAUAACCUUGCGAAAGUAAGACUAAUACCUUAUAAUUUCCUCAGAUGUCAUCUGACGAGGAAUAAAGAUUUAUCGGUUGUGGAUGGGGAUGCGUCUGAUUAGCUUGUUGGCGGGGUAACGGCCCACCAAGGCAACGAUCAGUAGGGGUUCUGAGAGGAAGGUCCCCCACAAUGGAACUGAGACACGGUCCAAACUCCUACGGGAGGCAGCAGUGAGGAAUAUUGGUCAAUGGGCGAAAGCCUGAACCAGCCAAGUAGCGUGCAGGAUGACGGCCCUAUGGGUUGUAAACUGCUUUUAUACAGGAAUAAAGUUAGCCACGUGUGGUUAUUUGUAGGUACUGUAUGAAUAAGGACCGGCUAAUUCCGUGCCAGCCGCCGCGGUAA